rnacentral:rRNA from 1 species
UACGGGAGGCAGCAGUGCGGAAUAUUGCACAAUGGGCGCAAGCCUGAUCCAGCCAUGCCGCGUGUAUGAAGAAGGCCUUCGGGUUGUAAAGUACUUUCAGCAGAGAGGAAGAUGCACUGCUUGAUACGUACAUCAUUUGACGUUAGCUGCAGAAGAAGCAGCGGC